CCUCCGCUCCCCGCCUUGCCGCGGCCAUUGGCUCCGGGAGGCCGCCCCGCCACCGCCAAGAGACCUACGAUGAGAUAAAUCCUUGUCUGGGAGCAAGUGGAAGAACACAGUAGAAACGGAUUUACAUGUAACUUGAACUCAACAACUCCUGCUGAAACAGUAAGAAAUCCAGAAAAACACUUCUGGAAGUGCAGUGAAUCCAAGUUAUCCUGAACUGUGUCAUUUUUUAACAUGGCCUUUUACCUAUGAGUGGUAAGAGAGAAAAAAGAAAGUGGUAAGAUCAAGGCAACAAGGGAGACAACUCAAAGUGUGGUAAACCAGACUGCAGUAAACUUGCCUUUCAUCAGGGACUACCCAAGUUUAAUGGGCUCUCUUAUAAAGAAAAUAAUAAUAAAAGGAAUUCAAAAAUCAA